CCGGUGACUCCCUGCUUCCUAGUUCAGAGGCUGCCCCUCACCAGGCUCUGUGCUCGGGGAGGCAGGGAGCCCUCGG
ensembl:miRNA